UGCCCCUGCGAUUUCACUCAUUCU
rnacentral:siRNA from 1 species